GCCAAACCCCCUCCUCUACUA
rnacentral:tRNA from 1 species